rnacentral:rRNA from 1 species
AAUGGGGGGAACCCUGAUCCAGCCAUGCCGCGUGUGUGAAGAAGGCCUUAUGGUUGUAAAGCACUUUAAGCGAGGAGGAGGCUACUUUAGUUAAUACCUAGAGAUAGUGGACGUUACUCGCAGAAUAAGCACCGGCUAACUCUGUGCCAGCAGCCGCGGUAAUACAGAGGGUGCGAGCGUUAAUCGGAUUUACUGGGCGUAAAGCGUGCGUAGGCGGCUUAUUAAGUCGGAUGUGAAAUCCCCGAGCUUAACUUGGGAAUUGCAUUCGAUACUGGUGAGCUAGAGUAUGGGAGAGGAUGGUAGAAUUCCAGGUGUAGCGGUGAAAUGCGUAGAGAUCUGGAGGAAUACCGAUGGCGAAGGCAGCCAUCUGGCCUAAUACUGACGCUGAGGUACGAAAGCAUGGGGAGCAAACAGGAUUAGAUACCCUGGUAGUCCAUGCCGUAAACGAUGUCUACUAGCCGUUGGGGCCUUUGAGGCUUUAGUGGCGCAGCUAACGCGAUAAGUAGACCGCCUGGGGAGUAC